rnacentral:rRNA from 1 species
UGCGGUUACACAAAUAAUAUAAUUUAAUUUAUUUAGUAUUAAUUAAUCGAUAAUAAAAUAAUUUUAAAUUAAAAUUUAUAAGGUGAAAUUUAAAAUUUUUUUUAAAAAUUAAUUUUUAAUGAUGAAGUUAAAAAAUUUUUAAAUUAAACUAGGAUUAGAUACCCUAUUAUUAAAAAUGUAAAUAAAAAAACUAAAUUAGUAGUAGUUAAGUUCUUGAAAAUUAAAGAUUUUGGCGGUAUUCUAGUCUAUUCAGAGGAACCUGUUCUAUAAUUGAUAAUCCACGAUUUAAUUUACUUUUUUUUUUAGUUUGUAUAUCGUCGUAAUUUGAAUAUUUUAUAAGAAAAUAAUAUUCAAGAUAUUAAAUAUGAAAAUAAAUCAGAUCAAGGUGCAGUUUAUAAAAAAGAAGAAAUGGGUUACAAUAAAUAUAUUUAAGGAAUAUUAUUUUUAAAAUAAUGUGAAUUUGGAUUUGAUAGUAAAUUUAAUUAAUUAAUUAAAUUGAUUUAAGCUCUAGAGUAUGUACACAUCGCC